CGGGGGGAGCAAGCGUUGUUCGGAUUUACUGGGCGUAAAGGGCGCGUAGGCGGCCACCGCAAGUCAAUUGUGAAAUCUCCGGGCUUAACUCGGAAAGGUCAACUGAUACUGCGGGGCUUGAGUGCAGAAGGGGCAACUGGAAUUCUCGGUGUAGCGGUGAAAUGCGUAGAUAUCGAGAGGAACACCUGCGGCGAAGGCGGGUUGCUGGGCUGACACUGACGCUGAGGCGCGAAAGCUAGGGGAGCGAACGGGAUUAGAUACCCCGGUAGUCCUAGCCUUAAACGAUGAAUGCUUGGUGUCUGGGGUUAUAAAGUCCCCGGGUGCCGUCGCUAACGCUUUAAGCAUUCCGCCUGGGGAGUACGGUCGCAAGACUG
rnacentral:rRNA from 1 species